CUACAGAACACACAGAAAGAGGCACAGACAGAAAGAGAGAGAGAGAGAAUAUCAGCAAGCGAGGCCAGCCCAGCCCAGUCACCCGUGAGCAGCUCCUGGGCCAGCCGUGAGCUCCUGACUCUGCUCAGGGGACUCAAGACCCCGACCCAGGUGACAGACGCAGGAAGCAGGGUUGGGAGACGGGGCACUCCGACGGGACAGAGGCAGCCCUGAGCAUCAGGCAAGUCCCUGAGAUGGAACAAAGGGAAGGUGGAGCCUCGACCCGGCUCAGGGGUGGGUGUCACUGGGUAGCGGCCCGGUGCUGGGGAGCUGGGGCCCAUGGCUUCAUCAACGGAGGUAGCAUCUCUAGAGUGAGGGAGGGGAUGAGCUUCUCUCCACGCCAGGCAGGGCAUGUAGGGCCCCGAAGCCCAAGCACACUUCCCACCACAAGGCGCAGAGAGAGGGGGCUGCACGGAUCUGUUGCUGAAGACGGACGCCGGGCUCCCUGAAGCGGCAGGAGGGGGCUGUGCCGUGGGAGUGGCAACAGGCCCAUGGUGGACAGAGGCAUGUCCUGGCAUGGGCCUUUCCCCCAACUGUUCCCCCAAAGUCUCCCCCCUACCCUGGCUGCUGGGAGGGCUGGGGGCUCUGGGAGGGGGUCCCCACCAGUCUUGUUCUCUGCGAGAACUCAGGGACCCUGGGUAUCCGCUGUCCAGCAGGCCUGGCUGCAGCUGGCUGGCCCAACUCUAGCUGAUGCCCUCGACUUGGGGAGCCCAGCCUGGCCCUCUCCACCCCACAGCUGCCUCCCCUGGCCAAAGGGCUCAGCCAGCUCCUGUCUCUAAUUUGGCAGAGAGGGAAACUGAGGCCCCAGAGCAGUGGAAGCGAGCACCUCCCUACGGGGCUCACACCAGGGAUGCCCAAGGGUCCUGUGGCCUCCCAGCACCAGGGUGGGCCAUGGCCACUUCCCUCCUCUGCACGGGGCCUCUGCUGGGCCGUGGUGGUGCCCACAGCUGGCCCCACAGUAGAGGCAGGCAGAGGGUGGCCAGAAAGGCUGACAGACAGACAGAUGACAGACAGGAGGACGGCCCGGGCCCCGGGACGCCGUGGCCGACUGUUCUUGGCUGUGGCCCGACCCUGGCCCAGUCCGUCCGUCCGGCCCCCACCCGCGCCGUGUGC
rnacentral:lncRNA from 1 species